rnacentral:rRNA from 1 species
UACGAAGGGGGCUAGCGUUGCUCGGAAUCACUGGGCGUAAAGGGUGCGUAGGCGGGGCUUUAAGUCAGGGGUGAAAUCCUGGAGCUCAACUCCAGAACUGCCUUUGAUACUGAGGAUCUUGAGUUCGGGGGAGGUGAGUGGAACUGCGAGUGUAGAGGUGAAAUUCGUAGAUAUUCGCAAGAACACCAGUGGCGAAGGCGGCUCACUGGCCCGAUACUGACGCUGAUGCACGAAAGCGUGGGGAGCAAACAGG